rnacentral:rRNA from 1 species
GAACUUAAGCAUAUCAAUAAGCGGAGGAAAAGAAACCAACAGGGAUUGCCCUAGUAACGGCGAGUGAAGCGGCAACAGCUCAAAUUUGAAAUCUGGCGCAAGCCCGAGUUGUAAUUUGUAGAGGAUGUUUCUGGCGACGUGCCUUCCGAGUUCCCUGGAACGGGACGCCAUAGAGGGUGAGAGCCCCGUACGGUUGGAUGCCUAGCCUCUGUGAAACUCCUUCGACGAGUCGAGUAGUUUGGGAAUGCUGCUCUAAAUGGGAGGUAUACGUCUUCUAAAGCUAAAUACCGGCCAGAGACCGAUAGCGCACAAGUAGAGUGAUCGAAAGAUGAAAAGCACUUUGAAAAGAGGGUUAAAAAGUACGUGAAAUUGUUGAAAGGGAAGCGUUCAUGACCAGACUUGGGCAGGUUGAUCAUCCGUGGUUCUCCGCGGUGCACUCUGCCUGCCCAGGCCAGCAUCAGUUCGCCCCGGGGGAUAAAGGCUUUGGGAAUGUGGCUCCCUCGGGAGUGUUAUAGCCCACUGUGUAAUACCCUGGGGUGGACUGAGGUUCGCGCUCUGCAAGGAUGCUGGCGUAAUGGUCAUCAACGACCCGUCUUGAAACACGGACCAAGGAGUCGUCUUCGUAUGCGAGUGUUCGGGUGUCAAACCCCUACGCGUAAUGAAAGUGAACGUAGGAGAGAGCUUCGGCGCAUCUCCGACCGAUCCUGAUGUUCUCGGAUGGAUUUGAGUAAGAGCAUACGGGGCCGGACCCGAAA